rnacentral:lncRNA from 1 species
AUGUGCACCAUUGAUUUCUUUCCAAAUUUUUCUCCAUGCCUUAUAAAAUCCAAAAAACAUAAUCUCAUACUUUGAGAUGUGUGCCAGACCAUGGAGGGUGAUGUGGGCUACCAUAACCUAAACCCAAGGUAGAAGGACUCUUCCUUCUCGUUUUGCUAAGAACGCACACGCCCCACAUCUUUGCACGCCAAGAGUCCAACCAAGUUAG